CUUCUAAUAGCUAAUAUCCUGCAGUGACCAAAGCCAUUAGAAGGAUUAAGCCAUUACUAUCCUGUCCAGCAAACACACAAUGCUCCCAGCCCAAAGCCACGUUGCAGGGCCCAGGACUGCUCUGAGACACUGCCACCCAGUGGCGCUGCCCACUGCCACUUUAUAAGCUGGGAAUCAUCAAGCUAGCUACAAAUACCUCGAGGGGUCCUUGCAGUUGCUCAACAUAAAUCAGCAAAAUGACAGGCAAUUGACUUUGAAGACAGCGCUCACAUGGCUGAGUGGCUGGAGCUGCUGGAAGCAGAUGAGGGCAUUUUCCUGUAAACAGAAUUCCUCACAUAUGUUAAGCAUUUUAUUCUUUUCAAAAUGCAUUGCUCUGUAUUAUUUCGCUAAAUUGGAUAAC
rnacentral:lncRNA from 1 species